GUGGAGUGUUCCAUCCUCACACCUCAUCCUCCGACACCCCCAGGAGAUCCUGAUGAUCUUGGAGCGAGCAAAGGUCUAAGCAUCCUGUUCACAGCAGCAGAGCAUCUGCCCCAAGAAUGAUGUGAGGAGCCAGUAAACAAGCUUUACUUCUCCUGCACCACUGAUGGACAGCAUUGUGGCAGCAUCUAUCAAAGUGAAAAUUCCUUACAAUGCUAGGUCCGUGAGGGCAGAGAGACUUUUUUUUGUCCGGGUCUUGAAUCGACACUCCGAUCCCCAGCAUCGGUAGGCAUCAUCACUGCCCUCCAGCCCCUUCAUCUGCUUGG